rfam:Parcubacteria bacterium GW2011_GWC2_42_6 TV36_C0046, whole genome shotgun sequence.
GGAAGGGUCGCAUAGUGGCCGAGUGCGCUCGCUUGGAAAGCGAGUAUACCGCAAGGUAUCGCGGGUUCGAAUCCCGCCCCUUCCG